AGAGUUUGAUCAUGGCUCAGAACGUACGCUGGCGGCACGCCUAAUACAUGCAAGUCGAACGAAGUAACAAUACUUAGUGGCAGACGGGUGAGUAACAUGUAGGUAUCUUCCCAUUGGUGAGGAAUAACACGAGGAAACUUGUGCUAAUACCUCAUAAGUCUUUACGGAGAAAGCUUUAUGCGCCGAUGGAUGAGCCUGCACUUGAUUAGUUUGUUGGUAGGGUAAUGGCCUACCAAGACAAUGAUCAAUAGCUGAUUUGAGAGGAUGAUCAGCCACAUUGGGACUGAGACACGGCCCAAACUCCUACGGGAGGCAGCAGUAGGGAAUCUUGCACAAUGGGGGAAACCCUGAUGCAGCGAUGCCGCGUGAGUGAAGAAGGCCUUUGGGUUGUAAAGCUCUUUCGUCGGGGAAGAAAAUGACUGUACCCGAAUAAGAAGGUCCGGCUAACUUCGUGCCAGCAGCCGCGGUAAUACGAAGGGACCUAGCGUAGUUCGGAAUUACUGGGCUUAAAGAGUUCGUAGGUGGUUAAAAAAGUUGGUGGUGAAAUCCCAGAGCUUAACUCUGGAACUGCCAUCAAAACUUUUUAGCUAGAGUAUGAUAGAGGAAAGCAGAAUUUCUAGUGUAGAGGUGAAAUUCGUAGAUAUUAGAAAGAAUACCGAUUGCGAAGGCAGCUUUCUGGAUCAUUACUGACACUGAGGAACGAAAGCAUGGGUAGCGAAGAGGAUUAGAUACCCUCGUAGUCCAUGCCGUAAACGAUGUGUGUUAGACGUUGGAAAUUUAUUUUCUGUGUCGCAGCGAAAGCAAUAAACACACCGCCUGGGGAGUACGACCGCAAGGUUAAAACUCAAAUGAAUUGACGGGGACCCGCACAAGUAGUGGAGCAUGUGGUUUAAUUCGAAGAUACGCGCAGAACCUUACCAACACUUGACAUGUUCGUCGCGACUUUAAGAGAUUAAAGUUUUCGGUUCGGCCGGACGAAACACAGGUGCUGCAUGGCUGUCGUCAGCUCGUGUCGUGAGAUGUUGGGUUAAGUCCCGCAACGAGCGCAACCCUCACUUUUAGUUGCCAUCAUUUAGUUGGGCACUCUGAAAGAACUGCCAGUGAUAAGCUGGAGGAAGGUGGGGAUGACGUCAAGUCCUCAUGGCCCUUACGUGUUGGGCUACACACGUGCUACAAUGGCAUUUACAAUAGGAAGCAAGACGGCGACGUUAAGCAAAUCCUAAAAAAAUGCCUCAGUUCGGAUUGUACUCUGCAACUCGAGUACAUGAAGCUGGAAUUACUAGUAAUCGCGGAUCAGCGCGCCGCGGUGAAUACGUUCCCGGGUCUUGUAGA
rnacentral:rRNA from 1 species